CUACCCGGGUAUCUAAUCCUGUUUGCUCCCCACGCUUUCGCACAUGAGCGUCAGUACAUUCCCAAGGGGCUGCCUUCGCCUUCGGUAUUCCUCCACAUCUCUACGCAUUUCACCGCUACACGUGGAAUUCUACCCCUCCCUAAAGUACUCUAGACUCCCAGUCUGAAAUGCAAUUCCCAGGUUAAGCCCGGGGCUUUCACACCUCACUUAAAAGUCCGCCUGCGUGCCCUUUACGCCCAGUUAUUCCGAUUAACGCUCGCACCCUCCGUAUUACCGCGGCUGCUGGCAC
rnacentral:rRNA from 1 species